UACGUAGGCAGCAAGCGUUGUUCGGAAUUACUGGGCGUAAAGAGUGUGUAGGCGGUGCUCUAAGUUUGGUGUGAAAUCUCCCGGCUCAACUGGGAGGGUGCGCCGAAAACUGGAAUGCUUGAACAUGGGAGAGGAAAGCGGAAUUCCUGGUGUAGCGGUGAAAUGCGCAGAUAUCAGGAGGAACACCGGUGGCGAAGGCGGGACUCCUGGGCCGAUGAC
rnacentral:rRNA from 1 species